AUAUAUAUCGGUUAUGGAUGAGCUUGCGGGGUAUUAGGUAGUUGGUGUGGUAAUGGCGCACCAAGCCCAAGAUGCCUAGCCGGUUUGAGAGAACGAUCGGCCACACUGGGACUGAGACACGGCCCAGACGCUUACGAGCGGCAGCAGUGGGGAAUAUUGGACAAUGGGCGAAAGCCUGAUCCAGUGAUAUCGCUUUGGGGAUGACGGCGACAUACGUUGUAAACCCAAUGAAGUACGUUUAGAUUAUGACCGUACGUAUUUUAGAAGUCCCGGC
rnacentral:rRNA from 1 species